rnacentral:sRNA from 1 species
CCAUCUCUCCAGCCCCUCCCCCCCACAACAAAAGAUUCUUCAAGGAAAAGAAGGUUUCUUUUGGCUCUUGUGGCACAGAAGGCACUCGGGUGGGAGCUUGAGGUACCAGGCAUGUUGCACUGAUGGUCAGGAAAGGAGGCAGGGAGAGACGGAUGCUCGAUCCCGCUGGCUUCUCCUUUACGUACCGUCCCCAGGCCGUGGCAUUGUGCUGCCCACUGAAGAGGGCCUUCCUACUUCAGUUCACCCAAUCUAGAACAUUCUUCACAGACGUGCCCAAAGGUUUGUUUCUAGAUUCGGCCAAGUUGAAAAAUCUUAUCAAUCGUGACAAAGAUGUUUGCUGACCUUUGCAACAGAAAAGGGGGCUCUGCACAGAAGGCCCCAGUACGAUGGAGCUCUGGAUAUCUGCAGCUGAGAUCACUGGAAUCUGGAAACAGCAGAGGAGACCCACGCUGCAUUCUCAUGGAGAUGUGCUGCCCUUUGGCUCCCAUUCAAGUCUGCAAACAGUCCCUGAAUGGCAGGACCACAGGCAAACUCAUGGCAGCCAGGGAAUCCAGGCCAGAAAGGAAGAGCCAUUGACCAAAAUCCAUGGGCCAAAGGUACUCGGUGGGCUUUUAUCAUGUGAGCCUCAGGUUGUCCACAGCAGGGACCAGAGCCAGCCCUGCAGGUACCUGCCUAUAAAAAAAAAAAAAAAAAAAAAAA